rnacentral:rRNA from 1 species
UACGAAGGGGGCUAGCGUUGCUCGGAAUUACUGGGCGUAAAGCGCACGUAGGCGGCUUUCUAAGUCGGGGGUGAAAUCCUGGAGCUCAACUCCAGAACUGCCUUCGAUACUGGAGAGCUUGAGUCCGGGAGAGGUGAGUGGAACUGCGAGUGUAGAGGUGAAAUUCGUAGAUAUUCGGAAGAACACCAGUGGCGAAGGCGGCUCACUGGUCCGGUACUGACGCUGAGGUGCGAAAGCGUGGGGAGCAAACAGG